CUGGGAGCCCCGCCAGCAGGCUCUUGCUUCCGGGAUUUUGCAUUCAUCUUAUCUGCGUUGAAAAAACAGCUUCCCCACCUGGCACACUUCCUCCCUUCUAAAGCCCCCCCCCCCCCAAGAUCUCGCCUCAGGCCGCCCCUACCAAAAACUUUAUACCUCCCCCCCCCACCCUUAGUCCUGUCUGAUUUUCCUCUUCAGCCUGCUGACAUCUUUCAUAUCUGUUUCUUUCUCGGACUUGCUGGGCCAGAAUGGGAAUUGCGGGCGAGCGGGGACUUUGUUGUGCUCGAGAUGGAGCCUCCAGCACCGAGGACAGUGGCGGAUGCACAGUCGGGGCAGUAAACCUCUGCGCAGAUUUUGAGUUGGAGUUGGGAGCGCCUCUCCUUCAAGACAGUCCCAUCAUCUACUUGGGCGCCAGUGGGACAGAGGUCAUUACCAAAAAUUCUGGGGAAGAAGAAAAAGUGGCAGGUACUAUAUUCAGGAAUAAGAAUGUUAAGAUAUGA
rnacentral:lncRNA from 1 species